CAGAUCUUCUCUCAACAUAUGUACCAAUAUUUCUGGGAGAAUGCCUCUCUUUCAGCUGGUCAUCUACCUCUCCUUCUCUCUCUAUGUUCUGGUGCUCCUGCUGGUGGCUUUUACCUGCAGACAGAUGAUAAAAACCCUCCUCAGAGGCCGGCCCGUGUCCAUCGCACUCCAAAGGACCAGCUCUGCAGGCAGGACCCUGCCAAAGUUUAAGGAGAUGAGGCGGCAAAACGUGGUGAUGCUGGGUCCUAUGUCACGUCUGUUGUUCAGUGAAGGGGCUGACCGACACUGGAGGAGGACUGAAUGGAUACUGUUUCCUCUCCACCAUUUCACCCAGCUCAGCAUUCCCCACACGUGAGUCUGAUAUUGGGUGACAAAGAACUAUUCACUCGCAGGGACUUUGAAGUGGAGCUUCAAUCAAUUAAUUUUCCAGCAGAGGUCACUGGAUGGAGAUCAGCAUUGCCAGGCUUUUCCCUUUGUGAAAUAAAGAUUAAUUUGAAGUUCA